UUUGACCUCAAAUCAGGUAGGAUUACCCGCUGAACUUAAGCAUAUCAAUAAGCGGAGGGAAAGAAACUAACAAGGAUUCCCCUAGUAACUGCGAGUGAAGCGGGAAAAGCUCAAAUUUAAAAUCUGGCGGUCUUUGGCCGUCCGAGUUGUAGUCUGGAGAAGUGCUUUCCGCGCUGGACCGUGUACAAGUCUCUUGGAACAGAGCGUCAUAGAGGGUGAGAAUCCCGUCUUUGACACGGACUACCAGUGCUUUGUGAUGUGCUCUCAAAGAGUCGAGUUGUUUGGGAAUGCAGCUCAAAAUGGGUGGUAAAUUCCAUCUAAAGCUAAAUAUUGGCGAGAGACCGAUAGCGAACAAGUACCGUGAGGGAAAGAUGAAAAGCACUUUGGAAAGAGAGUUAAACAGUACGUGAAAUUGCUGAAAGGGAAACGCUUGAAGUCAGUCGCGUUGGCCAGGACUCAGCCUUGCUUUUGCUUGGUGCAUUUUCUGGUUGACGGGCCAGCAUCGAUUUUGACCGCUGGUAAAAGGUUAGGGGAAUGUGGCACCUUCGGGUGUGUUAUAGCCCUUAGUCGCAUACAGUGNNURGGGAUSANGANCGCAGCACGCCUUUAUGGCCGGGGUUCGCCCACGUUCGUGCUUAGGAUGUU
rnacentral:rRNA from 1 species